rnacentral:rRNA from 1 species
CCUACGGGUGGCAGCAGUCGAGAAUCAUUCACAAUGGGGGAAACCCUGAUGGUGCGACGCCGCGUGGGGGAAUGAAGGUCUUCGGAUUGUAAACCCCUGUCAUGUGGGAGCAAAUUAAAAAGAUAGUACCACAAGAGGAAGAGACGGCUAACUCUGUGCCAGCAGCCGCGGUAAUACAGGGGUCUCAAGAGUUGUUCGGAAUCACUGGGCGUAAAGCGUGCGUAGGCUGUUUCGUAAGUCGUGUGUGAAAGGCGCGGGCUCAACCCGCGGACGGCACAUGAUACUGCGAGACUAGAGUAAGGGAGGGGGAACCGGAAUUCUCGGUGUAGCAGUGAAAUGCGUAGAUAUCGAGAGGAACACUCGUGGCGAAGGCGGGUUCCUGGACAUUAACUGACGCUGAGGCACGAAGGCCAGGGGAGCGAAAGGGAUUAGAUACCCGGGUAGUC